AAUUAAAACUUUAAGAAGUAUAUCAUUGUUAAUGAUAAAAUGUAAAAAAAUUUUUAUUAAUUU
rnacentral:tRNA from 1 species